rnacentral:rRNA from 1 species
ACGAACGCUGGCGGCGUGCCUAACACAUGCAAGUCGAACGGACGAGGAGGAGCUUGCUCCUCCGAGUUAGUGGCGGACGGGCGAGUAACGCGUGAGGAACCUGCCCUUGAGUGGGGAAUAACGACCGGAAACGGGCGCUAAUACCGCAUAACAUAUUGGGAUGGCAUCGUCCCGAUAUCAAAGGAGCAAUCCGCUGAAGGAUGGCCUCGCGUCCGAUUAGCUAGUUGGUGGGGUAACGGCCUACCAAGGCGACGAUCGGUAGCCGAACUGAGAGGUUGAUCGGCCGCAUUGGGACUGAGACACGGCCCAGACUCCUACGGGAGGCAGCAGUGGGGGAUAUUGGUCAAUGGGGGAAACCCUGAACCAGCAACGCCGCGUGAGGGAAGACGGCCUUCGGGUUGUAAACCUAAGUGAUCAGGGAUGAAACGAAUGACAGUACCUGAAAAGCAAGCUCCGGCUAACUACGUGCCAGCAGCCGCGGUAAUACGUAGGGAGCAAGCGUUGUCCGGAUUUACUGGGUGUAAAGGGUGCGUAGGCGGGAACGCAAGUCAGGCGUGAAAUACCGGGGCUCAACUCCGGGGCUGCGCUUGAAACUGUGUUUCUUGAGUGAAGUAGAGGCAGGCGGAAUUCCUAGUGUAGCGGUGGAAUGCGUAGAUAUUAGGAGGAACACCAGUGGCGAAGGCGGCCUGCUGGGCUUUAACUGACGCUGAUGCACGAAAGCAUGGGGAGCAAACAGGAUUAGAUACCCUGGUAGUCCAUGCUGUAAACGAUGAUUGCUAGGUGUGGGGGGACUGACCCCUUCCGUGCCGGAGUAAACACAAUAAGCAAUCCACCUGGGGAGUACGACCGCAAGGUUGAAACUCAAAGGAAUUGACGGGGGCCCGCACAAGCAGUGGAGUAUGUGGUUUAAUUCGAAGCAACGCGAAGAACCUUACCAGGUCUUGACAUCCGACUAACGAAGCAGAGAUGCAUCAGGUGCCCUUCGGGGAAAGUCGAGACAGGUGGUGCAUGGUUGUCGUCAGCUCGUGUCGUGAGAUGUUGGGUUAAGUCCCGCAACGAGCGCAACCCUUGUUGUUAGUUGCUACGCGAGAGCACUCUAACGAGACUGCCGUUGACAAAACGGAGGAAGGUGGGGAUGACGUCAAAUCAUCAUGCCCUUUAUGACCUGGGCUACACACGUACUACAAUGGCGUUAAACAAAGAGAAGCAAGACCGCGAGGUGGAGCAAAACUCAGAAACAACGUCCCAGUUCGGACUGCAGGCUGCAACUCGCCUGCACGAAGUCGGAAUUGCUAGUAAUCGUGGAUCAGCAUGCCACGGUGAAUACGUUCCCGGGCCUUGUACACACCGCCCGUCACACCAUGGGAGCCGGUAAUACCCGAAGUCAGUAGCCUGACCGUUCAGGAGGGCGCUGCCGAAGGUAGGAUUGGCGACUGGGGUG